CGAACCCGAAACGGAAGGAGCUGGCGCCUCCCCGCCCCCAUCUAUCCACUCCGUCCAGAUCCUCCUGUACCCGCAGAAGAUAGAGAGAGGGAUGAUGUGAAGGAGACGAGAGGAAGGAGAAGCCAUGCCCCGUCCACUGGCUGGGCUCUGUUUCAUCACCCCAAUCUUCCUACCUCUAUCCCUUUCUUUCAGAUUUUUUUUGUGUACAUGCAUACAAGGCGCUCGAUGAAAAUCCAAGCAGGUUGCAAGGGAAGGCAAAUUCCAUUUUAUGCUCAUGUGUAAUCAUUGAUUCUUUUUUCCUCACAUUUAGCAUGCAGUCAACUUUUACUUAUAUGUACAAUAUAUUACCUCUUUCAGUUAUAUGACUUGCACACACACAAUAUAUUGCAUCUGUAGGUCAUGUGACUUGCCUACGGAAGAUAUGAGUGUCCUUGGAAAAUAUUAUUAUGCUGGAUCUACUAUGGUUGCCACAUUAUGCAAGUCAGCAUUUAGUGAUCUAAAAGUUUAGACCAUGGCAUUAUGUUCAAUGCUCAGCAAAUACACCCUUCGCAGCGACCCAGACCAGUGCCAUGGCAACAAGCUUGCCCUCCUACC